AAAAGAAACUAACUAGGAUUCCCUCAGUAAGGGCGACUGAAGCGGGAAGAGCUCACCGUGUGAAUCUGUACAGGCUAGUCCUGUGCCGAAUUGUGGUCUGUAGAGGCAUUGUCGGUCACGGUUCCGGGUCAAGUCCCUUGGAAAAGGGCAGCUGAGAGGGUGAGACUCCCGUUCUUGCCUGGAACUUUUGAUCAUGGCACGUGUCUUCAACGAGUCGAGUUGCUUGGGAUUGCAGCUCAAAUUUGGUGGUAAAUUCCAUCUAAAGCUAAAUAUUGGUGGGAGACCGAUAGCGUACAAGUACCGUGAGGGAAAGAUGCAAAGAACUUUGAAAAGAGAGUUAAAGAGUACCUGAAAUUGCUGAAAGGGAAGCGAAGGAAUCCAGUGUCUUGUUCGGCUAUACUUCUCCUGCUCCUUGGGGCAGGGGCGUUGUGGUCGGGCGUGGGCCAGCAUGGGUUCGUCUCGAGGGAAACGAUCUUGCAGGAGGUAGGUUCAUUUCGAACUGAUGACUGUAGGUUCUUGUCUUGGGGCGGACUGAGGCAAGUCACGCAAGUGCUCGUGAUGCUGGCGAAAUGGAUUUCUUUACCCCGUCUUGAAACACGGACCAAGGAGUCUAACAUAUGUGCGAGUAUAGGGGUGGCAAACCCCCAUGCGAAAUGAAAGUAACAGUGGUAGGACCUUCUGGGGCACUAUCCGCCGGCCACAAUCCUUCGGGAGAAAGGUCUGAGUGUGAGCAUACAUGUUGGGACCCGAAAGAUGGUGAACUAUGCCUGAAUAGGGUGAAGCCAGGGAAC
rnacentral:rRNA from 1 species